GCCGCAAGGUCGUCUGUGCAGCGGGGCCGAGGGCGCGGGGCUUGGGGCGGGGAGCGCGGAGACGUGCCCGCCUGGCCGUGUGCGCCCGCGCCUGCUGCUGCGGGGACCGGCGGCCGGACGGGUGGGACCGCGGGGGGGGGGCGGUGGUCGCUGGACCUGGCCCGCCUCGGCCCCUGGGGGGGCGCCCGCGUCCCCGUCCCCGUCCUCGUCCCCAUCCCCGUUCCCAUCCCCGGUCCCGUCCUCGUCCCCGACCCCGUCCCCGGCCCCGUCCCCGGCCCCGUCCUCGUUCCCAUCCCCGUCCCCGUUCCCAUCCCCGUCCUCGUCCUCAUCCCCGUACCCGCCCCGUCCCCAUCCUCAUCCUCAUCCUCAUCCCCGUCCCCGUCCCCGUCCUCGUCUCCGUCCCCGUCCCCAUCCCCGUCCCCGUCCCCGUCCCCGUCCUCGUCUCCGUCCCCGACCCCAUCCCCGUCCCCGUGCCCGCUUUGCUUGCAGACGUGCCCCCGCGCGCUCUCCCGGGUAGCGCGGCUGUGCCCCCACCGUGCCCCCGCCCCUUCCACGCUGGAGCCCCCCCACGCUCCUGCCCCUCCCAGCCGGUGCUGGCCGCCGCACGGGACUUCCUAGGCCCCCUCCCCACAUGGCAGCCCUACCCCUGCACAAGACCGGUCCUGCACGGUGCCCCCGAGAGGGUGCACCAGAGGCCCCCGCCGCCGGGAGAGGCCUAAGGAAGCGUCGGGGGCCAGGACUGCCCCUCUACAAACGCUCCUUGCUUCCAGGGCAGGUUCUUCCUCCCCUGGGAAGUCUUCCCUGAUUGCCCCUUGAAUCCAUCCUUCCAGCUUGGGUUUCUGGGUCAGAGCAGCCGGGUUCCCCAGCCGCCCUUGCUCCGUGCUCUCCCCCGGGGCUCAGCGUGGGAGCCGGUGGGGGUCAGAAGCCAGUCAGCGGGUCGGGUGUGAUGCUGGACUAGGACCUACCCGGCUCUCGGGGGGAUGCCUCCUGUGCCCACAGGCCCUGAGGCUCCCAUGCCAGCAGGGCAGAGAGGGCGACUGAGUCAAAUCCAGGCUGACCCCAGCCCACUUGUGUUCCCCAAACGCCUGCCUGACCGGAGGCUUCUGGGACCAGGCGAAGGCCGCAGAGGGACUUUGCUAACUGGAAGGAGCCCCAGGGAAGGCUGGGGCAUGUUGGACGGAGCGUCGUCCCAUUUUCAGGGGAAGCCCCCCCGGAGGCUCCGCGGGGCAGUGGGCCUCAAGCCCCUUCUCCUGAAGGAUAAGGUGGCGGUUCUGGUGCAGCCGAGGCUCGACCUACCCUGUCCUGCCACCCGGGAAGCUGGUGGGGCGUGGCGGGGAGCAGAUGGCUGGGUUCCCUUCUGGACUCCGGGCCUUGCUUUGAAGUCCGGUUAUCUCUAUCAGAAUAUUCCUGCUAAUCAGUCAGUUCUGGGUGGGUUGAGCAGCUAA
rnacentral:lncRNA from 1 species